rnacentral:sRNA from 1 species
CUGGAGGCGCAGCUAACUGAUUCUUUUGGAAAGGAAUUGCCCUUGGGGCUUGCCCCACAACCAGACAGAGAACAACAAAACUGCCUCAAGGCAGAUCCGGUACUGGUUGGGUCACAACACGAUCAUGGCAGCGUCAGCAUUCAAAGCAAUCCGUUUGCUAUUAACUCCUGGCUUGGGAGGUUUUCAGACAGUCUCUGACUCGAUGGAACGGGCAACUCAACAAAAACAACAAGCCCGCCAUAAUAAUAAAAACAAAGCACGCACCUACUUGGGGGGGAGCUUCGGCUCCCCCAGUAGCUUCCGCGAAUCACCUCUCUCCCGUUGCUUC